rnacentral:rRNA from 1 species
AGGACGACGCUGGCGGCGUGCCUAACACAUGCAAGUCGAACGAAGAAUGUUUUCGGAAUAUUCUUAGUGGCGGACGGGUGAGUAACGCGUGAACAAUCUGCCCCGUACAAAGGGAUAGCCUCGGGAAACCGGGAUUAAAACCAUAUAACGCUUAACUGCCGCAUGGUAGUGAAGUCAAAUCGAUUAAGAGGUAUGGGAUGAGUUCGCGUCUGAUUAGCUAGUUGGUGAGGUAAGGGCUCACCAAGGCGACGAUCAGUAGCCGGCCUGAGAGGGUGAACGGCCACACUGGAACUGAGACACGGUCCAGACUCCUACGGGAGGCAGCAGUGGGGAAUAUUGCACAAUGGAGGGAACUCUGAUGCAGCGACGCCGCGUGAGUGAAGAAGGCCUUCGGGUUGUAAAACUCUGUCAUCAGGGAAGAAGAAAGUGACGGUACCUGAGGAGGAAGCCCCGGCUAACUACGUG